CUUCAAUCUUAUAUAUAUACUUGAUUGGUUGGUUCUAUCCAUGUAAACAAAUUACGUGAUAAAAAAAUACUUGAUUGGGUGGUUCUGUCCAUACAAAGAGGCUUCCAAUUAGGGGUGGGCAGGGGGUUAUCCAACCCGCACAACCCGCCCGCAACCCGAAAUUCUCUCAUUUUAUCACCGAUCGGCGAUCACACUCAUCAUCUCAGGCAUCUAUCUCUCUCAGCAAAGCAACCACUUAUCACUCUUAUCAUCUCAGCGAAGCGACCGAUUCCAUCUCUCUCUCUCAGCGAAGCAUCGAUCAACCUUCGGCAACUCUCAGGGUUCAUUAACCAAAUGCAUAGAAUUAGAAUUGGAAUUUGCGAAAGUUGAAUUGGAUGUGAUUCAUGAAGAUGAAGUUUGAUAUCUUAGAAGUAUUUUAAUUUUAUUUCAUGGGUUUGUAUUGAAUGAAGUUUAAGUUUGACAAGAACUUUUUUUUUUUUUAAUUGCGUUUUGGUUUUGGAUGAAUGUAACUUAAUGAAUUUUUAUUUUUUUUUUU